GACAGAGGGUGCAAACGUUGUUCGGAAUUACUGGGCGUAAAGCGAGUGUAGGCGGUCUGAUAAGUCGGGUGUGAAAGCCCCGGGCUCAACCCGGGAAGUGCACUCGAAACUGACAGGCUAGAGUAUCGGAGAGGUUGGUGGAAUUCUCGGUGUAGAGGUGAAAUUCGUAGAUAUCGAGAGGAACACCGGUGGCGAAGGCGGCCAACUGGACGGAUACUGACGCUGAGACUCGAAAGCGUGGGGAGCAAACAGG
rnacentral:rRNA from 1 species